GUCACUUUGCCGGAGUGGUUAACGGGAUCGCCUGCUAUAAGUCAAGCGGUUGGGCUUUGCCCGCGUGUGUUCGAAUCGCACAGGUGACG